GCGAGGUGGUGCUAAUCCUAGAAAAUUCUUCGUAGUCCGGAUUGGAGUCUGCAACUCGACUCCAUGAAGUCGGAAUCGCUAGUAAUCGCGAAUCAGCAUGUCGCGGUGAAUACGUUCUCGGGUCUUGUACACACCGCCCGUCAUACCAUGGAAGUGGAUUGCACCAGAAGUAGAUAGUCUAACCUUCGGGAGGGCGUUUACCACGGUGUGCUUCAUGACUGGGGUAAAGUCGUAACAAGGUAGCCGUAGGGGAACCUGUGGCUGGAUCACCUCCUU
rnacentral:rRNA from 1 species